AGAUAGGAGAAUUCCGUUCUGACGAAACNGGAUUUUNUGAAUGAAUGAUUUUGACNUGUGAUCGAAAGGGAAUCGGGNUUAACAUCCCGAACUG
rnacentral:rRNA from 1 species